UAGUUCAGACCGUAAACGAUGCCAUCUGGCGAUCCGCCGGCGUUAUGUUUGACCCGGCGGGCAGCCACCGGUAAACCUUUAAGUUGGGUUCCGGGGGAAGUAUGGUUGCAAAGCUGAAACUUAAAGGAAUUGACGGAAGGGCACCACCAGGAGUGGAGCCUGCGGCUUAAUUUGACUCAACACGGGGAAACUCACCCGGCCCGGACACCGUAAGGAUUGACAGAUUGAGAGCUCUUUCUUGAUUCGGUGGGUGGUGGUGCAUGGCCGUUCUUAGUUGGUGGAGCGAUUUGUCUGGUUUAUUCCGAUAACGAACGAGACUCUAGCCUACUAAAUAGACACUGGUUCUUUGGACCGGUGAACUUCUUAGAGGGACAAGCGACGUUUAGUCGCACGAGAUUGAGCAAUAACAGGUCUGUGAUGCCCUUAGAUGUCCGGGGCUGCACGCGCGCUACACUGAAGGCAUCAUCAUGUUUCUUUUCCUACCCCGGAAGGGGCGGGUAACCCGAUGAAACGCCUUCGUGAUUGGGAUAGGGACUUGCAAUUAUUUCCCUUGAACGAGGAAUUCCUAGUAAGUGCGAGUCAUCAGCUCGCGCUGAUUACGUCCCUGCCCUUUGUACACACCGCCCGUCGCUACUACCGAUUGAGUGACUCCUAAAGGAGUUGGGACUGGCCCUGUGCGGCCGCAAGGUUGCGCAGGUUGCUGGAAACUUCUCCAAUGGGAUUUACUUAGAGGAAGUAAAAGUCGUAACAAGGUUUCCGUAGGUGAACCUGCGGAAGGAUCAUUACCUAUCGACUCACGUCGUUCCUUGGGCUGAGUCCGGCCCACUUGUGGAGAACCUCGCCCUGCGAGGGUCUCUGCCGGACGAGGCUAACGGGACCGCUCUCGUGGAAGAGCGGUGACCGAAACGUGUUCUUCACACUGCUUGACCGCUCUCAUGCCCGCUCGCAAGCACCGCCCGCUAGCCCGACUCUUCUCUGCUAGCAUGACUCCGCGGUGGUAACUUGCAUGACUCCGCGGACGAGCGUCAAGCACUGACUGGUGGUGAGCUCGUGGAGGUUGCCGCGCCCGGCCCUUCGAGUGGAUGUGACCCACUCAUGUUUCUAAGGGCUGGACUUUCGCAUUGCGGUCUCUCCAAUGGGUGCUCUCGUGGGUACCUGUACUACUGUGUGGUCCUCGCGGUCCCCCCCUACCGCGCCAAUUCGGGACUUAGUAGUGAACCACCAGCUCUGGUCUGCCUUCAGUGGCUGGUGGAAGGUUCAAUGAACUGCCCGUCGGAAGGUUUACCUUCCGGUACCCGAAAGCUAGUGUGACCACACUAGCGGAAGCGGCUUCGAGAUCCUGCCUUCGUGGCUGGGUUGCUCGGCCGCAGGUAGCUGAAAACUCUCGGCCCCGCUUCGAUCUUGCCGUUUCUCUUGACAAAGCCACCCGCAAGCACCGCCCGCUAGCCCGACUCUUUCCUGCUAGCAUGACUCCGCGGUGUUAACUUGCAUGUUUCUGGCCUAGUCGAGUCCCUGAGAGCGAAGCAUGACUCUACGAGAGCUGAAAGUUGCUUGCGGCCCGUUAUGGGCAGCUUAGUUUACCACGCCGACUCUAUGCAGGUCUCGCGUUUCUUUAAGCCGUGAGGGUAGUCACACCGUGCAGCCUGGCUGCCGGGGCGGUCGCCCACACUCCAUUUUAACUACUUCAAUACU
rnacentral:rRNA from 1 species